UACGAAGGGGGCUAGCGUUGCUCGGAAUCAUUGGGCGUAAAGAGCUCGUAGGCGGCCGGUUGCGUCUGCUGUGAAAUCCCGGGGCUUAACCCCGGGCGUGCAGUGGAUACGGGCUGGCUGGAGGCAGGCAGGGGAGAAUGGAAUUCCCGGUGUAGCGGUGAAAUGCGCAGAUAUCGGGAGGAACACCGGUGGCGAAGGCGGUUCUCUGGGCCUUACCUGACGCUGAGGAGCGAAAGCGUGGGGAGCGAACAGG
rnacentral:rRNA from 1 species